AUGUCAGACCUCCAGAUGGUGCUCAGCGACACAACGGCGGCCAGCGCCGUGACCGGGAGCGCCAUCGCCGCCUCGUACAAUGACCAGAUACGGCCCCUCCUGGACGCCGUGGACCGCCUGCGCCACCUCAAGGUGACGCAGGAGGGCAUCCAGCUCCCGACGAUCGUGGUCGUGGGCGACCAGUCGAGCGGCAAGUCGAGCGUCCUCGAGUCCCUGGCCGGCAUCAGCCUCCCUCGCGGCCAGGGCAUCUGCACCCGCGUGCCGCUCGUCAUGCGGCUCCAGGACGACCCCGCCGCCGACUCGCCGGUGCUUCAGCUUGAGUACAGCAACGGCCGCGUGGUGACCACCACGGAGGCCAAUGUCGCGGACGCCAUCAACGCCGCCACCGCGGAGAUAGCCGGGUCAGGCAAGGGGAUCUCCGACGCGCCCAUCACCCUCGUCGUGCGCAAGCGGGGCGUGCCCGACCUCACCCUCGUCGACCUCCCCGGCAUCACGCGCGUGCCGGUCCAAGGCCAACCCGACGACAUCUACGACCAGAUCGCCAGGAUCAUAAGAGAGUACAUCGCGCCCAAGGAGAGCAUCAUCCUGAACGUGCUCUCCGCCACGGUCGACUUCCCGACGUGCGAGUCCAUCCGCAUGUCGCAGCAGGUGGACCGCACCGGGGAGCGCACGCUUGCGGUGGUCACCAAAGUCGACAAGGCACCCGAGGGCCUGCUGGAGAAGGUCACCAUGGACGACGUGAACAUCGGCCUCGGGUACGUCUGCGUCCGCAACCGCAUCGGCGAGGAGACGUACGACCAGGCGCGAGUCGAGGAGGAGCGGCUGUUCAAGUAUCACCCGCUGCUGUCAAAGAUUGACAAGGACAUGGUGGGCAUUCCUGUGCUCGCGCAACGUCUCGUGCAGAUUCAGGCGACCAUCAUCGCCAAGUGCCUGCCGGACAUCGUCAGGCAGAUCAACGACCGCCUUAGUCGCAGCAGCACCGAGCUUGACCAGAUGCCACCGGAUCUCAACAACGUUGCUGACGCUGUGAGGGAGUUCUUCCACAUCCUCAAGCUGGUGUGCGCAUCACUGGAGAAGAUUCUUGUGAGGAGUGAGUUUGACGAGUACCCCGACGACAGCCAUUUCCACGCCACUGCCCGUAUUGCCGAGAUGUUCGACAGGUAUGCGAAGAAGCUGCCUGCACAAAUCCCAAAGGGCAGUGACCAGCUGUUUCUGAUGGAGGAGAUGAGAGUGCUGGAGGAGACCAAGGGCAUCAACCUCCCCAACUUUCUGCCAAGGUCGGCAUUCCUCGUCUUGCUCAAGAAGAAGGUGGAUACAGUCAUGCAGGUGCCGCACGACCUUGUGAACGAGGUCUGGAAUUACGUCGAGGACAUUGUCGUCAAGGUACUCAUGCAGCAUUCAGACAACUUCCCUCAGGUGCAGUCGGCCUGUCGCCGCGCAGUCCAGGGCAUGUUCGAGAAGGCACGAGCGCGAUCUGCCCAGCACGUCAAGGAGCUGAUCGAGAUGGAGAAGGUGGCCGACUACACGGCCAACCCCGACUACAUGAAGACAUGGUCGGAGAUCAUGCAGUGUCAUGACAGGUUCAUGAAGGCCGUGGAGGACAAGUCCAAAUCAGCAAAGAUCACCCUUGAGUUUUUUGGAGAGGUGGACGUGUCCCACAUGAGGGCGCACGCCGACCUGGCAAGGCAGGCGUUCGACCUCAGGGCGCGCCUGACCGCGUACUGGAAGAGCAUCAUGCUCCGGCUCAUCGACGGCCUGGCCCUGCACAUCCUCCUCGGCGUCAAGCGGCUCGUGGAGAAUGAUCUGGAGGAGGAGCUCGCCAACGAGCUGCUGCGCAACAAGAUGGCCGGGAUGGAGCGGAUGCUCACGCCGUCGCCGAGCAGCGGCACCAAGCGCGAGCGCCUCAAGAAGAGCAUCGUGCUGCUUCGCCAGUCCAAGGAGGUUGUGGGGAGCAUCAUGGACAGGAUCUGCGCCUCAGGUGAACUCGUCUGA
rnacentral:rRNA from 1 species